AUGGUGUGGAGGGGAGGGGUGGAGUCUAGGAGCAAGGGAGGAGAGAGAGGGUGAGCUGAGUCUAGGUCUAGGCCUACCACGAGCAGCUGCGCCACCAGCAGCUGCGCCCCAGGUUCGACCCGUACCGCGACGGGCUGGUUCGGGGGCCCGACCACUACGGGAACUUCUACUUCUGCCUCAACCGAUGCCAAGUUUGUACGUGCGCUCGCAGUUUAUCCUUGGUGGGUCACCGUCGUGGCUGUCUCCUCCUCCUCGGGAGCUCCUCCUCCCCUACGACGGCCUCCUCCCUCCUCCCCUACGACGCCUCGCCCUCGCCCACCAUCCCGACGCCCGCGCGCUCCUGACGGCGGAGGCGGGUCCGCGAAGCGGCCGCGGCAGUCCCGGAGGCUCCAACACGGAACGCGUGUACGCUCGCCCCAGAACAAAACCUCUUAAACACGGUACCUUACAAGUCAAUUAUAAGUCAUGGGAGAACAUCUUUACGGCUUCCGUCCUGAAACACGUGAGCGACCCGUAGGUCUUCUCCUCCGACGUCUUCGUGUUUCCACGACAGUUGUGGUAUUCGAAGUUGUCAUCGCCCUCGAACGAGGACAGACGGAGCCUGCUACUAAAGAGAGACUUGAGGUUGUUACCGCGAGCGCCACGGUGGACUGUACAAGUCAGAGUAGUACGGACCGAUGAACUGUUCCUCUUCUUCCUCGUGCGGGUCCUCUUCUUCCUCGUUCGAUUCCUCUUUUUGUUGCUCGUCCUCUUCUCCCCUCGUUCGGGUUGAAUUUGAUAACAACAAAUACAACAAUGUGCGAACAACUAGGCACUCUGAGGUGCCGACGAGGCGUAGCAGGUGUGUAUCCUGUUCCCGCAGUACCGGUUGGUUCCGCGUACCACGAGCGUUUGCUGCUCGUCUCCAACAAACUGUAGCCGUGCCUCCUCCUCCUGCCCGUGCCUGCCUCCUGUCUCGUGGAGAGAAGAAGGUCCAAGAAGAGGAAUAGAAGUGAAUUACAUACACGGACACGACGUCGAGUGGGUACCAGAACAAACAGAACGUCCAAUCACUCGUCGAAGUCCUCCUCGAGUUCGUGCUGGUGGUUCUCCGUGGUGGCGUCGUUGUCCCGCUGACACCUUCCGUACAACAUAAAAACAGUCGGGUCAGGACUGAUACAGACAGGCACUCAGGCUGUAAACUAGCAACAACUUCCUCGAGGUACGACAUCUCGAACAUUGUAAUGAACCUCUCGAACAUUUCAUGACAUCUCGAAACGUAAACAUCUCGAACAUUUCGUAACAUAUACGAUCUCGAACAUAAUGCACAGUAAACAUCUCGAAAAUCACUUAGACCGAUAACAAUAAACUUAUUAAUACACACAAAAGACGAACGGAUAAAUUUAUGACCAAUAAAAGAAUGAUACUUUA
rnacentral:rRNA from 1 species